rnacentral:lncRNA from 1 species
UUCGAUGCUCGCAGACUUCCACUGUUGUAAUACAUGAAUUUUUGCUUGAGAAUCCUCCAAGCACCUCACUAUAGAAGGUAGAAUGAAAAUUGCAACAAAAAAAUCCUAAUCUUAAUAGAAUACUAACUAAAUUCUAAUUGGACUAUAAUAAUGUUAAGCAAUCUUUAAUCAAAUUUAAAGAAACUUCAAAGGAAUUAGUAAGAAACAAUAAGAAAUCUUAAAAAAAUAUUAGAAUGAUCACAAAUAUAUUUCAAAUAGAUCUCAAUUCAAAUUUAAUUUAAUCCUAAUUAAAAUCCUAUUGGACUUCAUUCAAACUUUUGGCUAAAAACUAACUAAAUCUUAAAUCCUCAACAAACUCAAAUAAAACUCUAAACCCUAAAUCAAACCCUAACUAAAUCUUAAAUCCUAAAUCAAAUCCUAAUUAAAUACUAACCUUAAAUCAAACUCUAACUAAAUCCUAAAUUCUAAAUCAAAUCCUAAUCCUAAAUCAAACCCUAACAAAAUCCUAACCAAAUCCUAAUCAAAUCCUAAUCCUAAAUCAAACCCUAAUCAAAUCCUAAUCCUAAAUAAAAUCCUAAUCAAAUCCUAAUCCUAAAUCAAAUCCUAACCAAAUCUUAACCCUAAAUUAAACCUUAAUCAAAUUUUAAUCCUAAAUCAAAUUCUAACCAAUUCUAAUCCUAAAUCAAAUCCUAACCAAAUCUUAAAUCCUAAAUCAAAUUCUAACCAAAUCUUAAAUCCUAAAUCAAAUUCUAACUAAAUCUUAAAUCCUAAAUCAAAUCCUAACCAAAUUCUAAAUCCUAAAUCAAAUCCUAAAUCAAAUCCUAACCAAAUUUUAAAUCAUAAACCAAAUCCUAAUCUUAAAUCAAAUCUCAACCAAAUCCAAAUCAAAUCCUAAAUCCUAAAUCAAAUCCAAAUCAAAUCCUAAUCCUAAAUCAAAUCCUAACCAAAUUCUAAACUAUAAAUCCUAAAUCAAAUCCUAACCAAAUCUGAAUCCUAAAUCAAAUCCUAAUCAAAUCCUAAAUCCUAAACCAAACUCUAAUCCUAAAUCAAACCCUAAUCAAAUCCUAAUCUUAAAUUAGACCUUAACCAAAUCCUAAACGAAAUCCUAAACCCUAAAUCAAAUCCUAGUAAUUCCUACAACAGAUUUAUACCUCAAAUACUAAUGAAUGAACCAUUGAUCUUAACUCAAAAUUUGUAAACUUUUUAGAAAUUUAGUUGAAAACAAGGGCACAAAAAAAUUGAAAAGGAUUGAAAUACCAAAUAGACGAUAGCCUCAAAAACGUGCUUGGAUAUUGGCCAGCCUCCUUCUCUGACCUUGAUGCCAAUCUCUCAUAGCCAAUAUCUCUCUUUUUCACCAUUUAAUUGAUUUCAAAAUUCUCAUACACAUAGGAAAACAAGUCUAAUAUCUUCUCAUAAAAUUUCACUUCAAUCCAACUAAUAGAUUGCAAGAAAUCUUAAAAACCCUCACUAGACCUAAAAUUUUACUUUCUGAGACCUUGACUCACUUAAACCUCAAUAAUCCUCAAUUCAACUAUUAGAUCGAGCUAAGAUUCACAACACAUAUUAAAUACAACUAUGACCAUUAAUCUACAAAAUUUCAUUUGUAGAUUUAUUACAAAACUCUUGAAAUCAUUAGAAAUAUCAAUCCUAUUUUAUUCACAAAAUCCAAGAUAUCCGAAAACAAUCUUAACUUUGUAAAGCUCUUACAAAGUCAUAACAACUCUAAAUUAUACAAAACUAAUGCUCAUAGAAACCAUAUUUAGUUUGCUAUCAAAUCCUACUCUCUAAUCUAUAAAAGAUCUCCGAAGUCAUCGUCGAGACUCAAUUUUGUGCCUUAGGGUCUGAUUUCGACCCUGGUUCAUAACCGGCCCUCUUUAGGUGUCAAUUUCUAGUUUUUCUAAGUAAAAUUUUUAAAGAAUUUACUCUUAACUUCCUUCUAAAGAUGCUUAUAUCAUUUAUUUUUCCAAUCUAUUUUGUUUUGCCUUAUUUAUGGUCCUACAAAGUAAAUAGAAGUCACCUUUCUAAAAAGAUAGUAUUGGUACCUUUUAAUUUUACUACCCUUUUGACUAUUAACUAUAUUUCUAAGAUAAUUUGCUCUAAUACUUUGAACUAAGAUCUCCUACAUUAUAAUAAUUUCCACACUCUUUGACCUAUUAGUCGUGUUAUAUCAUGACAUCGUGGAGAUACCUUUCAAAUCAGCAUAAGUCCAAGUGAAAGUAGAUUUAUGGUGAAUGAAAAAAUCUUUCCAAUAUGUCAAUUCUUAAUCUUGAACAUCUUUGUAAAUUUUAAUUGUCCAAGGUAUUUUAUUUGUUGCCAAAGUAAUAAUUUGAUAUAAAGGUUCAGAUGCCUUUUCCUAUUUCAACUCCCUCAUAGGUUUUAAUCCAUUUCCGAGUCCGACAUAGUGGAAGUACUCAAUUCUGAUUCCAGUGCACUAACCCAAUACAUAUCAUGUUUGGUCAUCCAAUCUGUAAUAACAUGAUCAAAAUUUUCUAUAUCUGGUAGGUAUAUCAAAUAUUUUUUCGGUCUUUUAUAUUAAUACACCAUCCUAUUGUACUGAGCUAUCUCAAAAGACACUCCUUCUUUUGGUACGAUGACAUCUUCAUCAAAACUGAGCUCAUCGUGAGAUGUUAAUUCAAAUAUUGGCAUUUGAGAAUCCCCAUAAUAGUGUAUGAGGUACAUUUGUAACACCAUCAUGUCACUACCUUUUUUGAUCAUCAAAGUACCAUGACCACAAUCAUUUUUGGCUUUUGCUUGAUAAAGCCAAAUCGUGUCAAUAAAAUCAAAUAUGAUAAAAUUGAACAUUAUAUUCAAAAAAUGAUAUAGUCUAUUUUGUAUUCAAUACCAAUAAUUAUGGUUUGAAUAUUUUGCAAGUUGUCCAUGGAUUUAACCGAGCUAUGAUCUGCCAUCUAUAAUACCAAUGUCGAGGAAAUUAAAUGUACUAAGUUCAAAGCAUCUAUUGUAUCUACGUUCAUUAAAUUGAUGCUGGAGCGACCAUCUAUUUGGACUCUAGAAAUCAUAAUGUUGUCUAUCGAUACAUCAAUAGUUGACACACUUGGGUCAAGGUUCAAAUUGACCUCAUGAACUUCUUUAUUGUAUUGCCUACACUGUGUUAACGAUGAAUUCAAUAUAGAAUGACACUCCAGUAUUGCUGCUAGAAGCUACUUCAUUGAAAUAGAAGGCUGAAUAGCAUCAAAAUCUUUUAGAAUGUCAUAAGGCUCCAUGUUUAAAGAAAUUUCUAAUAUCUACUUUCUUUUCAUUUGUUUUAGCUUUAUUCCUUGAGGUAACAUAGUUUUCUUUCUUGGACUCGAAAUUGAAACAGCUCAAAGAACUUUCAUAGAAUAUUUGUCCACAAAAAGAUCUUUUAGUAGCUAAGAUGUCUCCUAGGACUGCACAGAGGAUAGAACUGGUUUAGACUGAGUCGAGACCUCGAUGGUUGGGACCUCAUUGGUUUGUAUAGACGGACCAAGUCUCAUCAUUGAUAAGAUGUCCAUUGUAGGAACUGGAUUUGACGUCCCCAUAAUUGGGUUGAAUUUGUCCUUCACAAUAGGUUCACCGAAGUGUUGAAUUGAUUCUUUGUCUUUUUUUGGCUCUUGGUAAGUAUUUCUUUGACACAUUCCACCUAAUUAACUGAAAAAAAUUGAGGACCUCAAUUAUUAUCCUCAAUUUUACUUUGAAGUUGGAUCUGCUGAUUACAGUUGUUGAAAUUGAAUAGAAUAUUAUACUGCUGAUAUAUAUGCCCUGACUGCUUAUAAUUUCUAUAAAUAGGAUAAUCAUCACUAACUCUUGGAUUAGGACAUUCAUUAGUAAAAUAACCAAUCUGUCUGCAACGAUAAGAACAAAGUGGUCUUCUUCCACCUUUGUCAAGCAUAUUGGAUGUGCCUACCAAUAUAUACCGGCUGGACUUGUUCCAAGUUGAAUAGACAAAUGAUCCCGGUUGUCUUGUUGGUAUGGAGGAAACUAGAAUUGAUUGUAGUGAUGGAGAAUAUUACUGAUAUUUUGGUUGUUCCUUCAAAUAAUUAUGGAAGUUCGAUGUAAAAUCCAGAUUAUAAUUUGGACCUUUUAAGUUAUUAAAGGCUCGAUUUUGCCUAUUUGAAUAAGUCUUGUUCCAACCAAUCAUAUUUUUUGUUUGAACUUGAUUGACAUCUCAUUGAGUAAAUGGGAUCAUGGUUUGAUUAUCAAAACUAUUGUUACUUUUUCCAAUUCCAACAAUUAGCUGCCAAAUGCUUUCUUCUACAGAAUGUACAUUGCACCAUCAUUUGUGGAGGAGAGGGGCAUGCUAUCACCAAAUGACCUUCGCCCUUACAAUUAUUGCACCAUAUAUUAGGCCUAGUAUUGGUAGAUUUUUUCCUUUUUUCUUUAUCCUUUGCCAUAUUGACUACCAUUUCCUCCAUUUUUUUAAUCAAAUUUAACAACAAGGUUUUAUUAGAAUCCUUCGGAGCUGAUUCUAUUGGCAAUUCUGCUGUAGUCAAUGGUUGCUAUUGAUAAGAGAAGUAUAGGGACUGUAAUGUUGCCAUGCUUGGUAGUAUAGCUUAGAAUAGGGUGACGUUUAUUGUUCCCUAUGUAUUAGUACUUGAAUUGUCCCAUGUAUCGAACAUUCUCGGAUAACUAACUACUGAACUAUUCCAUGCUGGGAUUUGAUAACCUCCUUGAACUAGAAUCAUAGUAGCUCAUGUAGUUAAAAAUUAAUCAUAAUGGCAUUCUUCUCAAAUCUUGGCUCGAUUAAGAGAUGUAGUUACCAGAUUUGGUUUAGCCUCUUUUAUAAACAUUUUUUUAAUUUGAGUAGGUACAAUUCGUUGAUUAAUAUAGACAAUACAAAAGGCUCUGGCAUUUGAUGAUUUGACCAUUUGUGGAUUAUAUUUGCCUCAUGGCCAUAGUACAAUUCCAUUGCCUCUCCAAGAUUCAUUUUGCUAUUCAUUAAUCUUUCUCAAAGUUGAUCAUCAAAAAUAAUUAAGCAAAAAUGGAUUAAAAAUGCAUUCUUCAAUACUUCUCAAUUAGAAAAUUGAUCCAUGAUUUGGCAGUUAUACCAUUCAAAUGCCGUAUCUUUUAAGAUCGUUGAAAGCCAUCACAACCAAAUAUCUUCAGUUUUAUCAUUAUUGGCUAUACAUGUGGUGAAGAAUUGAAAAAAGUGUUGAUCUGGAUCUACUCUUGGCAAGAUCCUAAAAGUAGGUAAUGGAACCAUGCUAGUUGUGUGAUUGCCCAUGUCACCCAUUUGGACUACUAUUGGAACUACUGAACUACUCAUUUUCAUUGAAGAAGACAAUUUGUCGCUUAAUUUUAUAUUAAAAUUACCACUAACUUCUCUAAUUUUUUUUUAAACUUUUUAACCUCUUUAAUUUACUAUCAAUAUCCCUAAAUAAGUUUAUUAAUAGAAUUAGAGGUAAAAACAAUAGAUUUUGAAAUACACUAAAUUGGCCCUUAUUGGCAAGCAAUUUAUGCCAUUCUACAAGACCAAUUUUGAUAGAAUCGACAGUAUCUGCUAUUGAAAAGGUACCCAAUGGAGUACCUAAUUCUUCUGUGUUUCCUCCACUUGCAAUUAAUAAGCUCAAGAGAUAUGCUAGGCUAUUGACAAAAGUUUCCACAAGCACUCUUAGUAAUUUUCUUAACUAUAUAUAUGUCUGAAAUAUUAGAGGUCAGUUAGCUUUUGGGUAUGCUCGGAUAUGUCGAUAGGCAUGCAACCAUGGCUUAAUCCAACUUUGUCGAUGCUUCCUUUUUAACUUAUAUUCUUGCUCAUUUUACAACAAUUCUCUUGCUUGCUCUCUCUCUUGUCUUUCUUUCAAGUGGCUUGUUUUUUUUACUACAAUAUUUUUAUUCUUAAUAAUCAUAAUCUUUCAUUAUAUACUGCUGAAUUUGCUUCCUAUCUCUCAUCUAACUAUACAAUUUUCUUCACUUUCGAACCAAUUUUAAUUUUAUAACCUCUUUGCGUAACAUCCAAAACUACUCGUUUGGUGGUUAAUUCCUAACAAUCAAUACUAUUGUCAUUCUUUGGCAAUGGUACCAAAAUGUGAUUAUUGUUUUACUUAUUCUACAAAUUUCUUUCUGAAUAAAUCCAUAGAGGGGAAUUCGAAUACAAGGAAAGACUAUUGCAUGAGCUUAUAUGUUAGGGUCACACAAUUAAUCGUAAUCCAAACUACUAAAACACCAAGAAAUACUACAAUACUUUCUUCUAGUAAUAAUACUCUUUUAUCAACUAAUAACAAUAAUGAGCAACCUUGCAUUCUCAAAAGACUGCUCAAAAUACAUAAAUUCCAUCCAACAUCAAAAAUAACAGACUUCACUCCAACCAAUCUGGAUUCAAAUAAUUUCUAUAAUCACAGACUUCUUCUAUCAAAACACACACAACUUUCAAUAAACAACAAUCAUAAUCUUCCAUCUAUAAUCAAUCUUCCAAUAACUUCUCAUAUAAUUCAAUCAUACAGUACUCCAAUUACAUAAUCAAUAACUCAUAAAUCAAUCUCUGAUUUAUUCCACAGAUUCACUUUUCAGUAUUGAAAAACUAUCCAUUAUUCUUCAACAACAAAGAAACAAAGAGGUAGCACUAAGUUUAUCCUAGCUCAUAACUAUCACAGUUUGGUCCUUACAAUCUCUUCUUCAACUUACUUAUGCUUUACUUCUGAAAUUCCAGCUUCUAACCAUCAUUCUCUACUUAAUCAUUUUUCACAAUUAAUUCAAUCAUCCAUCCUAUUGAAUUGACUAUCCUUGGAAUGAUUAAUCUACUUUACUAAUAUCUUACAAAAAUAAAUUUCUACCUCUUCUACAAAUUGACAAUUAGAUUAGAAGUUACAACUCACCAAAGCUCAUUGAUUAAGAUUAGGGCUUGCAAAGAAAAAUCAAAAUUACCUUAUUAUGAAAGUUAUGAGAUAUUUAGAAUUUAUGUAAUAUUAAAGUUACUAAAAAGAGUGUUUUUGAAUACUUUUUAUUUACUUUAAGUACUUUUGAAUUGAAAUUCAAAUUACAUUCUUCUUAUAUGGAUGAAACCUAUUAGGAUUUCUUAGAUAUUUAUAAAACACAACUUCAUCUUCUAUAGCAAGGUGCUUGAUGCACAAACAAGACAAUACAUAUUACAACAUGGCCUUUCAUUGAAAUAAAUAAUCAUAUAGAAUAUGAGUUAGAAAAAGUCUAAGACUCUAGACUAAAAAGAGACAAGUUGAAAUAUGUUAUUUAUUGGCAUGGUAUUAUGAUGUAACAUGGCUAAUAAAAAAAAGAGAGAGAAAAAUAUUAUAUUAUAGAAGAUCUUAUUUUAAAAUAUUAUAUCAAAUUAUUUGAGAAAAUAGGUAAUUGUUAAAAAAAUAGUAAAACUAAAGAAUAGUAUUGCUGAUUUUUUUAUAAAAUAGACUUCUACUUACUUUGUAGGGCCAUGAAUAAGACAAAAUAAAGUAGAUUAAAAAAUAAAAUAAUAUAGACAUCUUUAAGAUGAAGUUAAGAAUAGAUUUUAGUAAAAUUUAUUUUAAGAAGCCAAAAAUUGAUACCUAAAAAAGACCAAUUGUCAACUUGGUCAAAAUUAGAAUGUGAUGUACAAAAUUGUACACCUAUAGUGAUUCUAAGGCUUUUUGAUAGAUCAAACAACAAGGAUUGAGAGAAAAAAUUUAAAGAGAUUUUUAGACAUUAAUUUUCUAUCUAUUGAGUUAAUAUUUUGUUUUGGAAGGAUUUUCAAAGUUAAUAAUACUUUUAGUUGGUUUAGAUUUGAAGAAAUAAAACUAUGUUAAUACAUUUGGAGAUUUCUUAAGUUUUAUAGUAUGUGUAUAAGAAAAUUUUGAGUAGAAUAUUGGUGUGCUAGUUGUUAAUGUAUGUGCAAAUUUUGAAGUCAAUUAAAUAAUUAGAUCAAAAUAUGUGAAGGUUAUUAUAAGAUGAGAUCUUAGAAAUUAGAGUUUAAAGAUCAAUGAGUAUUUUUAAGAUCUUUAGUAAUUUAUUAUUUGGAUUGAAAUGAAUCUUUUUAGUAUAGAGACUAGAUUUGAUUUCCAACAAUUUAAGUGAAGUUUGGAAGAAAUUCAAUAGUUUAAGAAAGAGACAUUGGUGCUAGAAAUUCAACAUUUAGAUUGAAAUAGGAGGCCGACCAAUACCUCAGUGGAUUUUAGGAUUUUUCUUCUAUUUAGUAAGUGUAAUUAUCAUCAAAUUUAUUUUACUUAUUUUAAUUAAGAAAUUGAGAGGUGUGUAAAUUUUUAAGCAAGAUCAACAAUUUAAUCAAUAGAUAUUCGGGUUAAAAUCUACUUUAGAUUUUUAUUAGGAUUUGGUUUAGGAUUUAGUAUUUAGUUAGGAUUUGAUAUAGGAUUUAGUUAAGAUCCAUUAGGAUUUCAAUUAGAAUUAAAGUGGGAUUUGGUUAGGAUUUAUUUUAGAUUUAUUUAAGGUUUUUCUUAUAUUUCUUUAGGAUGUUUUGUAGAUUUCUUUUGGAUUUCUUUAAUAUUUCUUUAAGAUCUACUUAUUAUUUCUUUAUAAUUUCUUUAUAAUUUCUUUAGAAAUUAUUUUAGAUUUUUUCAUGUUUUUUUUGUAAUUUCUUUAAGAUUUCUUUUGGAUUUGAUUAAAACUUGUUUACCAUUAUUAAGGUUUAAUUAGAAUUUAUUUAGGAUUCUUUUAGAGUUUUUAAGAUCUUAUUGUUGCAAUUUUUUUCUACCUUCGACAGCUAAGUACUUGAUGCAUUUUCAAGCAAGAUUUCAAGUAAUACAACAAUACCUAUAAUAUCAAUGAAGGUAUGCAAAAAUCAAUAAAAGAUCGAGUUAAUAUGUAACAAAAGGUACAUGGGUUUUAUUGACACUAUCCUUGAAAAUCUUAAUCUAUUUUAAAAUGACUUCUUUAAGAAGCUAUUGCUAGAAUGUUGUAUAUAAUAAAGAAAUUAGAUAUAAAAUUGAUGCUCCUCGUAGAACUUAGAGUUAGAUGAGAAGGUGAUAUACCUAUAGACAUCUAACUAGAAGAUUUUAGAAAUAUUUUAGAAAUAUUCUAUUAAAUUUUAGAAGGUUACAAAAGUAUCUAAAAAAAAUUCUAGAAAAUUUUUAGAAGGUUUUAAAAAGUUUUAGGACGAUUAAAGAAAUUUUUUAAGAAGUUUUUUAGAAUACUUUAUCUUCAAAUAAUAUGAAAAUUUAUGAAGAAACUUUUGGUUGUUCUUGUUGUAUUCAAGCUUCAAUAUACCAAAGCAAUUGAACUAAUAGAGUGGGUUCGAACAUGGGGAAAGACUGAUUAUAUGAAUUGGGUCUGUUAGUGUCACAAUUGACUAUACUUUAGUUAUCUAAAAUCAAUUAUCAAACUACAAAAUACCAAGGCUUAUUACUUCUGUCUUAAUUCAAGACAUAAUCCAUUCUACGACUAUCAAUUCAAUAAUACUUCCAUAUUCUUAUCCAUUCAUCUCUCACUUACUCUCUUUGCAGUUUAUAUAUAUUCAAUUAUUAAUCUCUAGCUUACUUAUUAUAUUCAGUUUCUCAAUUCAUCACAUAGAAUUCAAUAUCUUCACUUAAUACAACACAAUUUGAUAAUCUCAAUUCUCAAGGUCAUAGAUUUUUUCCAAAAAGGUCAGUCCAAAGUCAUAUUCUACAAUAUUCUAAUCACAAUUUCAACAAUACUUCUCUCAAUCACAAUUCUUCAGAAGUAAAUAAUAAAAGCAAAGAAAAUAAAGAGGUAGCACCAAACUUAACCUGGCUUACGACUCUCACAGUCUGGCUCUGAUCUCCCUUUUCUCAACCUCUUUAUCCUACUAAUAGAUGGACUGUUGGUCAGCACAUUUCAAAGGUUAUGACCCUUUGAAUUGUUAACCAUUUGUUCCACUAACAUCCUACUGUUACCAACUAAACUGCCUAACCAUAAGUCUAAUUCUCAAGGUUGUCAAUAACCAACUAGUAACUUAUCACAAAAUUUAUUUACCUAUUCUACACUUCUUAAGGUUUCUUCAUCUUUAAGUAAUGUAAAUACUUCUAAAAAAACUACCUAAUACUUAGUAUAUAUUAAAGUCAAGGCUAAGACAAUCCUAAGUCUCAACAAAACAUUUCUUGGAGCUUUAAUUCACCUCUUUGGGUGUUGAUCUUAUAUUCAUGUGAUUUAAUCAAGUUCUUAUUAGCUUCUUAUUAAAAUUCUUUUGUUCAAUGUCUUAUUUGGUCUCUUGUAUAGUAUAUCUAUGACAUUAGAAUUUAAAUUAUAAAUAAAAAAGAUAAUUUAUAAUACAUUUUAAUUAUAUAAAUAUAAAUAUAAAUAUAUAUAUAUAUAUAUAUAUAUAUAUAUAUAUGUAAUUUAUAUAUUUUUAUUAUUCUUAAUCUUUGAUUUCUUAAAUUCUAUUAUAUAUUUUUAUUUUCACUUAAUUUUUUAAUUAAUAAUAUUAUUACAACAUAAAAAUAUUAAAAUAAAUAUAUUUUAUAUUAUAUUUAUGACAUUCCAUCAUUAAUAAAAUUUUAUAGAUUUAAAAGCUCAAUUUUUAAUUUUAACUUCUAUUUGAUUAGAAGUAGAAUAAUAGAUGAAAAAAAAAUUAUCUAUUUAUAAUUUUAACUAAUAAAUUAAGAUUUAAUUUUUUUCUUUGUAUAAUAAUAAUAUACAUCAUAUUUUAAGUUAAUUAAUUUCUAUACCUUGAAACAUGAUAAAAAAAUUAUAAUUAUAAUUUCUCAUGUAUUUUAUAGGUCUUAAAAUACAAAAGACCUAUAGUUAAGAAACAUUCAUUGUUUAUUAUACUUUUCAAUGAUAUAGCAAUCAAUAAUUCUUUUAAUAAAAUUAAAAUAAAAUUUUAAAAUGCUAGACAUAUCUCUCAUAGAUAAAUAGAAGUUUAAAAUAACAAAUCUAAAUCAAUAUUUUGAUCUACAUAUAAUCAAUUUUUUUUAAAUAUUUAUAAUUUCUUAAAGAUGAAAUUGUUUUAGCUUUAAAAGGAUUUUUUGUUUUUUAUUGAAUUUGUCCAUCCUUCUUUGAUGCAAGGUAACAACAUUUCAAAAAUAUAUUUGACAAGCUCUAUUUUUUUUCACUGAUAAUUAAAAUUAAAUAUAUACUUAGAUAAGAAUAUAUUUAAAUAAGCUUUAUAAUAACUUAGAACAUUUUUUGACAUAAAAUAAUCUAUGUUCUUAUUAUGUAUAUAAAAAAUCACUAGAUUAGAAGCAUCUUCCAAAUAAUAGCACUAUUCUUGAAAUGAAUCUAUAAUUGCAAGAAGCUCUUUAUUGUGGAUCUUGUGAUUGAUCUUGAUUAUUUUAGAAGAAUGUUACCAUUCUUCUUCUCAAAAAGUCUUGAUAAUCUUUAUAGUAGCUUAAAAUACUACUUAAAAUCUUUUUUUUAACAAAAAUAAAUGUGAUAUAAAAGAUGACUUCUUUUGCAACAUGUAUAAAAGCUCUUAUACUUAUAAAUAAGGAUUUGGUCGUAUUAGACUUAUGACUCUCCACUUGCUUAGAAAAAUUCUUAAUUAAGCUAUAAAAAAAUUAAUAUUAUAAGAAAAAUUAUAUAUUUAAGAAUUACAUAUUUUUUAUCUAUAAUAAACCUAAAAUAGAUAGGUUAAAAUAACUCUAAUAAUACUAAAUAUUACUUAGUUAUUAAGACCAUUUAUUGCUACGUCUACAAGAAUAGUUUUAUAGGUAACAUCUUUAAAAAAAAAUGACAACCAUCUAUGACUUCUAUAUGCAUAAUUUUAUUUUAUUUUAUGAAAGAUAUUUUAUGUUUUUAAAAAAGCCUUUAUUUAAAAAUAAAAUUUAAAUUCAUGAAUUUUAUAAAAAAAAGACUUUGUAAAUAUGAAGUUUCAAAAAUACAUCUCUAAUUUAAUAAGAUAAAAUUUUAAUAGAAUAUAAUAAUUCCUUUAUUAGAUUUUGUAGAAGAUUUUAGCUAUAUGGUAUUGUAUUACUUGAAGCCUUGUUUGAGAAUGUACCAAGUACUUGGUUGUAGAAGGUAGAAGGAAAAUUAUAACAAUAAGAUUCUAUUUCUAAAAGAAUCCUAAAUAACUUUGAGAUUUCUUUGAGCUAAAGAAAUCUUUGACUAAAGAAAUCUCAAAGAAAUCUCAAAGAAAUUAUGGAAAAAGCAUAAAGAAAUCUUAAAGAAAUUCAAAUGAAGUAUUAGAAUAAAAUCUUAAAUAUAUCUUAAAUAAAUUCCAAUCAAAUCUUAAUUUAGUCUUGAUUAAAAUCCUAGUAGUCCUUAUUUAAAUGCUAAGUCAAAUCCUAACUAAAUCCUAAAUAUUUCUAAACUCUAAAUAAAACCUAAAUUCCAACCAAUUCCUAAAUCCUAAAUCAAACCUUGAUCAAAUUAAUCUAAUCCUAGGAUAGUUUAGAACCUCAAUAUCUAUCAAUUAUAAUAUUGAUCUUACUUAGGAUUUUACAUGCCUUUUAACAACUAAAUUAGAAAUAAGCACAUAAAAUUUGAAAAAGAUCAAACUUACUAAAUAGAAAAUCAAAUCUAAAUUCCACUUUGAUAUUAGUCAGCCUCCUACUUCAAUCUAAAUGUUAAACUUCUAGUAUCAAUAUCUCCUUUUUGAACUAUUUAUUUGCCUCUAAAAUACAUCUAAAUUAUUGAAAGUCAAGUCUAGACUUUGUACAAAAAAAAUUCAUUUCAAUUCAAUCAACAAAUUCAUAAAGAUCUUAAAAAUACUCACUAACUCUUGAAUCCCAAUUUCUAAGACCUCAACCUAUAAAAACCUUCUCACACUUCAAACUAAUUGUUUGAUUGACCUUAAAAUUUUCAAAUAUACUAACUAAAAAAUCAACUCAUUGCUCAAAAUUCAUCCAUAUAUAUAUCACAAAACUCAAUAGUCCCUCAAUUUUGUAAACAUAAUUUGUUUUUUCAAAAUCUUAUCCAAUCAAGAACAUAAAUAACUUUGAAAAUCUUCCAAAAAUUGAAUAUUAAAUUGAUUGAUAUAAAACCAAUGCUCAAAAAUCUCUUUAUAAGUUUGUUCUCAAAUUUCACUCUUUGAUCUAUCAAAAAACCUUGGAGUCAUUGUAAGUAUAUGGUUUUGUCUUUUGGGAUCUUAUUUCUAUCAAGGUUGACAACCGAUCUGCUUUGGGUAUUAAUAAUUAGUAAUUUGAAGUAAUUUUUAUUUAAAUUUAUUAAUAAUUUAUUUUCUAAUCAUGUUUAUAUUAAUAAUUUAUCUUAUUUACUUUUAUUUGAGGCAUUUAUAUUCCUACAAAGUAAAUAAAAGCGACUUUUUUAAAAAGCAGUAUUAAGACUCAACCUUUAAUUACCUUCCUAUCAUUUAUCUUUAUUUUUCUACAUCUUUUUAGUAGGCUCUUUUGAAAUAGUGCCAAUGUAUUUCAAGUAUCCAAGAUCCUUUUAAUCCAUAAUAACAUAAAACCUCAUAACAAGAUAGGACAAACUGGACUAGAAUAAAACUGAACAAAACUAAAUAGAAUGAAACAUGGAAGACAAAAUUGAGCAACCAGAAUUAAGACAGAACAAAAUAAAAUAUAAAGAUAUAAAAUCAAAUUGUAUUAAGAGAAAGGAUAUAAAGCCAUAUCUGACCAGAUGUUCCAAAAGGCCCUAGCCAAUCCUAUUUAUACUUUAUUCUACCAUUGUAGACUAUCUAUAAUAUUUGUAGAUAAUACAUCUCACUUAGAUAACCACCUUAAACUCCUUCUCGAAGGUCCAUGAUUGACUCCACUUUGAUACCCAUCUUAAGCCUUUUUUAGAAGGUUCUAUAGUAGAUCCUACUUAGAUAACCAUCCUAAAUUCUUUUAAGAAUGUUUCAAGAUGGAUCCUACUUAGUCCACUAACCUAAUCCUAAUUUAGAAAACUUCCAUAACCUCUCAAAUAUGAUUCUAACUAUCUAUCUCUAUAUGUCAAUAAUACAAAUAUCUUAUUUAUACCAUGUUAUAACUAAUUUCCCUCUACUAAUAUGAAAUGUCCUUAUUUUUCUCUCAUUGAUAUCUCCAAAUUAUUUAUUGGAAAUAGGUGAGAUUUUGUGUAAAUUUUUAUAUUGCAUCGUGGAUGGGAUAACUUUUCUAAAGAACUUGUACUAAAGUUGUUGACAUCCACUACCACAGUAAAGGUAGUAAUGCUCCAAAAUAUUAUCCACUUCAUAUUCUUCUUGGUCAUCAACUACAACUGGUAGUCGUGGUAGUUGAUAUCAAUCCAAAAAGUACUUUGGCUUCGUAUAAAAUUCCAUUAGUUAUAAAAUAUGGAAGACUAGAUGGACUUAAAUAUAUGGCAAAAGCUCCAAGCGGUGUGUAAUAUCAAAAAUUAUAGCAAAAAUAUAAAAAAAUUCAAGCCAACGAAGUGCUAGUUUACAAAUUUAGAUUGAUGUAACAAGUGGCAAAUUGAUGUUAGAGAGUAAUACUUGAUCUUCUUAUUGGAAGAUCUUGUAUUAUUGAUAGCUAUUGACAUAUUAUUUUUAUCAAUUUUGUAUAAUAAAGAGUCAAUGUUAUGCCUCUUCUAAGGUCAUUAUAAGCUAUUGUAUAAAUUCCUCUUUUUUCAAGUUGUUGGUGUCAAUAGAAUAAUAAAGACCUGCUUGUGUAAUCAAAUAUUGAUCAAUAUAAAGAAAAAAUGGUGAAUGACUGAUACUUGCUUAAAUACUAUCAUUGUAAGCAAACUCUAAAAAAAUGAAGUAUUCAUCUCAAAUAUUCUAAUGAAUCACCACAAAUACCCUCAACAUAUCCUCCAAGGUCCGAUUUAUACUUUCUAUUUGCUCAUCUAUUUCAGAGUUGAAGGCUAUAGACAUCGCAAGUCAUAUGCCUAAUAGCUUGAAUAAGGCUUGCCAAAAACUUCUUGUGAAGUAUAGAUCCUGAUUUGAAAUGAUGACAUGAGAUAAUCUAUAGUGAUAAUAAACAAUAUCAAAGAAGACUCAUAUAAGCACUGAGGCAUCAAUAUCUAAGUGCACCAUAGCCAAGUGAAGUUUCUUUGAAAGUUGAUCUAUAACGAUGAAAACUAUAAUAUAAUUAUGAAGCAUUUGCAACAAACACUUAAUAAGAUCUAUAGUCACUUGCUCCUAAUGUGCCGUAGAUAGUAAAAUUGGCUGCAAUAGUCUAAGGAAUGCUACAUUACAUAUUUUAUUAUAUUGACAUGACUCGCACGAGAGUAAAAAAGCUCAAACAUUAUGAUCCAAAUCUGCCAAAAAUUAUGUCCUUGAGAUCUAUUCUAGAGUCUUCUCUCAUCUGAGAUGUCAAGAUAUUAGAAUAUUAUGUCUCUUUUGAGUAUGUACAUUUGAAGUAUAGCAUUUUUAGAUACAUAAAUCCACUUUUUGAAUAGAGUAAGCCAUCACUAAGACUAUAAUUUUGAUACUAUAUAUUGCCUACCUUCAAUCGAUUACUAACCAUCUUAAAAUAAGCAUCCAGAUAUGUACCUUCCUUCCAUUUUGAAUCUUUAGUUAGAUUUGAAAUGACACUACUAAUGGUAGCAGCUUCUACCUUGUCUCUCAAUUUGUCCUUCAAAUCCAAUCUCUUUGAUAAGUUGUUUCACUCAAUAUAUUGUCAUCUUUUAUCAAGGACAUGAACUAAAAGAUGAUGUAUAAAUCAAUAAAAUUUGUGUCAAAGAAAGAGUAAAAAAAAUAGAAAUAAAGAAGUAUGUAUAUUAAAAAGAAACUGACAUGGCUUAUUGCCAAUAGACAUGGAAACUUGAGACUCUUGAAACUAAAUUAAAGGAAAGAAAGGAGUUGAGAAGAGUGAAGAGAGCUUCACUCUUGUCUUUAUAUAUACUAUUUAACUAGUGGCUGCGUGGCAAUGUCCUAUAAGACCUCCAAUAUAUAUUGACUUUAUAGGACACAUGCCUUGACUUUCAAGGAAAAUUUUUCUACAUGUAGAUCAUAUAGUUAGCUUAAUCUUCAAGCUAACAACAUGUGUGGCACAUAGCCAACAUGUUGAUUACUUUUCUAACCCAAAAAAUCAAUUAUAGAUUUUUAUAAAAUCAAAGCAACGUCUAUGAAGCUUCUAAAAAGCUUCUAUAGAAUAUAUUAUAGAAUUAACUUAUUUUUACCUACUUCUACUUAUUUUUAUUUAUUUAUACAUAUAAUUACUAGCUUGUAUGUGUAUGACAUUAUCCUCCCUUCUAGAAAUAAGUCCCAUAAAAAGUGAUCAUCAUAUAUUGAAGAAAUCUAUGAUGCAAUGAAUUGUAUUUGCCACAUACUUAGAUCUUUGUUCUCUUCCAUGGUCGUGAUACCAAACGCAUUGUAUCUUACCAUCAAUUCAAGGAAAAAUAUGUUGUUCUUGAGGAUCUUCAUCUGGAUUGCGUCCUCUUAAAGAUUGUGACAAUUGCAAUGUCUCAUCUAGCAGAUCAACAAACAAAGGUUCUUAAGUCAAAUCCAUUGAUUUUUGGUUCUCCAUCUCUUUAAUGUCACAACUACAAAGAAGCUACAAACAAGGAUUGAAAGUAGAAUGUUAUCUUGCUUAGAUCUUGAUUUUUUUAUAUGGAAGGUUUUUAUCUUGAUUUUAAUGGAUGUCGUCGAUGAAAAGCCUCCACCACCUUUGCUACAUUUACAAGAUUCUUUAUAGGCUCCCAUGUGUAUUCAUUAAUAUCAUAUCCAUGUCAAUGGACAAAAUAUUCCAAUUUAUUUUGGCGCCGCCAUGAAAUUAUGACUCCUUUCACUUUGAACUCUUCAUUAUUGUCGACUUCUAUAAGAAGAGGUAGAAUUUUUCUUCUUCUUAAUAUGUCUACUAUCUUGUAUGGUUCAAAAGAGACAUGUGUAAUAUUAGAUAAAUUUUUAUUGACUCCAAUAGGUGUAAAUAAUAUACAACUUGAUUGAUUUGUACAAAAAUAGGAAAUGGUCCAAGCCUAUGAUAGUCCAACUUUUCUUAAGGAUGAGUGGUCUUAAUAUUGCCAUGAAAUAACCAUACCUUCUCACUCAUGUAGAAUGAUGAUUGUUUUUUUUGAUAGAUAUCCGUAUUGAUCUUUUGUUGUUCUUGAGCUUCUUUUAAUUGCACCUUCAUUGUUGCAUGUAGCUAAAACAAAUGAUUUGCCAAAUCUUCCACCACAAGAUUAUCAGCUUUUGAAAAGUCAAAAGUAUAAAGUCAUGGAUGAUAAUCAAAAUUAGAAAAAAAAGGUGUAUGUUUAGUAGAAGAAUGUAUCGUGUUAUUAUAAACAAACUCUAUCAAUGGCAAAAGUGUUGUCCAAUCAUCUUGUUGAUAGUUGAUGGUACAUCUUAAAUAUUGUUAUAAAACUUGAUUAACAUGCUCUGUUUGUCCAUCAACUUGACGAUGGAAUGCUGAAGAUAGUUUUAUAUCCACUUCUAGAAUCUUGAUACAAACUAAGUUCUUUUUUUGGAUAUAAUAUCCUUGGAUAAUCCAUGAUAGCGAUAGAUGUUGUCAAGAAAGAAUUUAAUUAUUUCUUUAUCUAUGAUAGAUUUUAUACAUGGUACAAAAUAUGCCAUCUUAGUAAAAUAAUCUACUAUCACAAAUAUAGAGUCAUAAGAACUUGAGAUUGGAAGAUCCGUGAUAAAAUCCAUAGAAACAAAAGACCAUAGUUGUUCUAAAAUAGGUAAUGGUUGAAGAAGUCCAUAAGGUCGAUGACGAGGAGUUUUUGAUCUUGAACAAAUAUUGCAUGAUUGAACAAAGUCUUUCAAAUCCAUCCACAUUUGUGGCCACUAAAAAUCUCUAGAUAUAAGCUCUAAAGUCUUGUUGUAUCCAAAAUGUCAUGUUGUUGGAAAGUCAUGACGUACUUGAAGAACAUGUUAUCAUGCUUUUUUUUUUGGAACAUAUAAUCGACCUUCAAAAUAGAGUAGGUUGUUUUUGAACUCAAACUUAGAAGUAUCUUGGGACUUAGAAGAAGAAUUCUUAAUAUUUUGAAUAAGAAGAUUAGAAGAUAUACUUAAUUGGAUUUUUUUACAAGGGUCAAAUCAACACUCAAUAUUGAUUUCAUUACUCAAAGAUGAAAAUACUCUAGCUUCAAGAGAAUUAUUUUUCAUUAAUAAAAAGAUACAUCUCUUUCUUUUGGUACAAGAUAAAAAACAUCUAGAAAGGGCGUUUGAUAAACCUUGUUGUUUUUUGGGUCGAUAUGUGAUCUUGAAAUCAAAUCUUGAUAAAAACAUGCUCCAACGGGCUUCGUAAAGAUUUAAAAUAUAUAUUGAUAUAAAGUACUGAAGAUUCUUGUGAUCCAUAUAUACAAUGAUUAGAUUAGAAGCACCUUCUUUAUGAUGAAACCAUUCUUGAAAUGAAUCCAUAAUUACAAGAAGUUCUUUAUUGUGGAUUUCAUAGUUAAUCUCGGCUACUGAAAAUUUUCUAGAAUGAAAAGCUAUUAGAUGAAAUUUAUCAUCUAUCUCCAUUUGUGAUAAUACGACACCUAAAACAAAGUCUGAUACAUCAAUUUCCAUAAAAAAUGCCUUAGAAAAGUUGACGCAAUAUAAGAUUGGUGUAGAAAUAAAGGCUGACUUCAGAGUUUCAAAAGAUACUUUAGCUUCUCUUCUCCACUCAACUUUGUCUUUGCAAGUUAAACAUGUAAGUAGAGCUGCAACUUGAGAGAAGUCUUUGAUGAAGAUCUCAUAAUAGUCGGCAAAGCCCAAAAAACACUGGACAUCUCUUACCGUUUUUGGAAUCUUCUAAUCCAUAAUAGUUUGAACUAUCUUAGGAUCCAUCACAAGUCCAACAUUUGAAAUGAUGUAUCCUAAGAAGUCGACUUAAGUAGUGUAGAAUACACACUUUUUUAUCUUGGCAUAGAGUUCUGCAUCUCUUAAUUUUUAUAACACACAACCAAGAUGAAGUUCAUAUUCAUCUGUGUUCUUAGAAUAGAUCAAGAUGUCGUCCACAUAACAAACAACAAAAUCAUCUAAAAACUCUCAAAAAAAUAUCAUUCAUUAAAUGCUGAAAAUCUAUUGGUGUAUUUAUAAGUCUAAAAGGCAUGACAUUGUAUUCAAAAUGCCUAUACUUAGUUUCAAAUGCAGUCUUCUAUUCAUCUCUUUUUUUAAUAUAUAUUAGAUUAUAUAUUUUUUAUAGAUCUAUUUUUAUAUAGAAUUUAGCUUGAUUCACUUGAUCAAAAAAAUUACAUAUUAAAAGUAGAGGAUACCUAUUCUUGAUGGUGAUCAUGUUGAGUCUUCAAUAAUCAACAUACAUCUACAAUGAUCCAUCUUUUUUCUUCACAGAUAAGUUUGGAGCUCAUGCUAGUAAUUUAGAUUGGCGUAUAAAAUUCUUGGCCAAAUUUUCUUUAAUAUAUUCCUUAAGUUCAGCCAAUUCAUUUUGUGAUAAACUAUAGAUUAGUCCAAAUGGUAGUUGUGUUCCUUCUUAAAAAUCAAUUGAGUAGUCAGAGGGACGAUGAUAUAGAAGAGUUUCCGCAUUCUCCUUACCAAAUAUAUCUUAAAAUUCUUGAUAUUGGCUAAGAAUGCCACUUAAAGUCUUUGCAUCAUUAAAAACAAGUGUGGCGUAAAUGACAUAAGGUGAUCCUUUUUUUGCAGCAUGUAAGAAAGCUCUUACAUUUAUAAACAUAGGUUUAAUUGCAUUAGACUUAUGACUUUUUAUUUGAUUAAUUUUACUCUUAAUUAUUCUUUUAGAAAAGCCAAGGAUAUGAGAAAACCAACCUAUGCAAGGAGUAUACUUUUUUAACCAUGAUAAAUAUAAAAUGACUAGAUUAGAGAGAAAUCUAAUUAUAUUAAAGUUUAUGCAACUACUAUGACCAUUUAUUGCUACAUCUAUAGGAAGUGUUUCAUGAGUAACACCUCUAAAAGACAAUAGAUGACCAUCUAUGACUUCUACAAGAAUAGUUUUGGUUUUUUGUACUAAUAGUAUUUUAUGACUUUAACAAAUUUUACAUCUAAGAAACAAGUUGAGGCUCUUGAAUCUAUCAAAGAUGAGGCUUUAUAAUUAUUAAGUCGUAAAUACACAUCUAUUAUAAAACAAAGAGAGGAUUUUGAGGAGAUGAUAGGAUCUUUAUUAAAAAUUAUACAAGAUUCUAGCCGCAUAGUGCCUAUUGUAGUUGGGCAAAUUUAUUUUUCGACUUAUUGUCUUUUUUGACAGAUGUGCUUUUCAUUUUGAGUUUUUAUUGCUUCUUUGGAUAAUGUUCAGCAAUGUAUUUGGAUUCUCCAUAAUAUAAGCACAAUCCUUCUUAAUGACGAUGAGUCUUUCUUUGGUGAGUAAGAGGUUUAAAACGUACCACAUCAAUUUGUAUAUCAUCUACUUUUGAAUGUAUGCAUUGAAGAGAUGUUGGUAUUGCCAUCAAAUUUUAGUAACAUUGAGGUUUAUUUGUACAACUUUCAAAUUGAAAUUCAAAAAGUUGAUUGUCGCAUUUCAUAGCAAAGUCAAUUGCUUGAUUUAAUGUAUGAGGAAUAGGUAAGUUGAGCAUCAAUUUCUUUACUUCAUAUUAUAAUCCAUAAAAAAUAUGGCUAAUAAGUGCAACAUUAUCCCUAUUGAUAUCUGUUAUAAGUUGUCAAAAUUGUGAAGUAUAUAACGUUACAGAUCGAUUACAUUAUUGUAAAAUAUGGAUCUUGUUGGUUGCUACAUCAGUUGCAUCAUGUUCUCUAUACAUAGACUAGAAUUUUGCCAAAAAUGCCUCUAAAUUAUCUAAUAUUGGAUCUCGUUAUUUAAAAAAAGAUAAAAACUACGAUAGUGAUGAACCUGAAAGAAGUGUACCAAUGAAUCUAACUUGUGAUCUUAGAGUUGGUUAGCUUCGAGAUUGAAGUUCAAUCAAAAGUUGUACUUAAUUGAUAAAUCCUUGAUAUUUGGAUCUUGUGUCAUCAAACUUCUUGGACAAAGCAACUCUUGGUUCUCCAACACUUGAAGGAUGUUUCACUAUGGAUAGAGGGACAUGAUUUGGUGCAGAUGUUGAAGUAUUUCUAAUCAUUUCUAUAUCCUCACUUCCUCCCAUUCUUGUUGAUCCUUGUGGUAGUAAGCUAAGUUGAUGUAUGGCAAGCAUCAACUCUCUCAAUUACUCUUACAUUAGUGCCAUUGCAUACUUCAUUUCAAGAAGCUCUAUUAUAAUAAAAUUCAAAAAAAUAUCUAAUACUACUUAAGACAAGUAGAGGAAAGAACUUAAAGACAAAGAAAAUACUAAGAAUAAUAUCAGUUAAGAAGAGGAUAAUCCGCAGCUUCUAAUAUGCUUAUGUCUUAUCAUGAGAAGGGAAUAAUCUACUCUUAAUCAAGACAAAACAAAGCUUUGAUAUUACAAGUGUAUUCUUGUCAAUCUGUCAAGGACAUGAAGUAAAAGAUGAUAUAUAAACUAAUGAAAUCUGUGUGAAAGAAAGCAUAACAAAAUAGAAAUAAAGAAGUACGUAUAUUAAAAAAAAAUAGAAUGGAUUAUUGCCAAAAGACAAGGAGACUUGAAACUCUUGAAAGUAUAUUAGAAGCAAAAAAAGAGUUGAAGAAGUUGACAAGAAUGAAGAAGGUUUCACUCUUUUCUCUAUAUAUACUAUCUAACUAAGGGCUAUGUGGCAAUGUUCUAUAAGACCUCCAAUAUUUGUUGACUUUAUAAGAUAUAUUCUUUGACUUUCAAGGUAAAUUUUCCUAUGUAUAGGCCAUAUGGUUAGCUUGGUCUUCAAGCUAACAAUAUGUGAGGCAUAUGGUGUCAAGGACAAAAAUAUGAUAAAGAUAAAUAAACAAGUGAGACUUCUCUCAUAAAAAGAUGACAAAAUAGAAAUAAUUUGAUAUAUAUAUUAAGAAAGAAAUUGGAAUGGCUAUUGCCAAAAGCCAAGAAAACUAGAGACCCUUGAAACUAAACUGGAAGCAAGAAAGGAGUUGACAAGAGUGAAGAAGGCUUCACUCUUAUCUCUAUAUAUAUUAUCUAACUAGGGGCUACGUGGCAACGUUCUAUAGAACCUCCAAUACGUAUUGACUUUAUAGGACACAUGCCUUGACUUAUAAGGUAAGUUUUUCUACAUAAGAGCUACAUAGUUAGCUUGGUCUUUAAGCUAAUAACAUGUGUGGCACAUAGCAAACUUGUUGACCAUGUUUCUAAUCCCAAAAAGUCAAUUAAAGAUACCUAUAAAGUCAAAGCAGUAUCUAUGAAGCUUCUAAGAAGCUUCCAUAAUAAAUACUAUAGAAUUAACUUAUUUUUACUUACUUUUACUUACUUCUAUCUAUUUAUACAUGUAAUUAUUUGCUUCUAUGCAUAUGUCCAUGACACUACCCCCUCUUCUAGGAACAAGUUCUAUGAGGAGCGGUAAUCAUAUGUUGAGGAAAUCUAUGAUGCGGCGAAUUAUAUUUGUCACAUACUCUGAUCUUUGUUCUCUUCAAAGAUGAUAGAUAGGGCCUUUCAACUAUCGGUAGUGUCCCAUACUAGGAUAGGAAGACCACCUAGUUAUUUCAUCAUUGUUGAGGCCUUCAUAACUUCCUUCGAAUAAAAUAAUUGGAACACUAUUAGGAGUUGUUCUUAACUCUUGUAAAAUCACCAAACAUCGAGAGUCCCUUCCAAGGUCGUGAUACCAAAUGCAUUGUAUCUCACCAUCUAUUCAAGGAAGAACAUGUUGUUCUUGAAGAUCUUCAUCUCAAUUGCGUCGUCUUGAAGGUUGUGAUAAUCGUAAUAUCUCGUCCGAUAGAUCAACAAACAAAGGCUCUUGAGUCAAAUCCACUGAUUAUUGGUUCUCCAUUUUUUGAGCAUCACAACUACAAAGAAGCUACAAACAAGGAUUGAAAGUAGAAUGUUAUCUUAUCUAGAUCUUGUUUCUUCUAUAAGAAAGGUUUUUAUUUCGAUUUUGAUGGAUAUCGUCGAUAAAAAGCCUCCACAGUCUUUCUUGCAUUUACAAGAUUCUUUACUCGCUCCCAUGUAUAUGUACUAAUAUCAUAUCCAUGCCAAUGGACAAGAUAUUCUAAUUUAUUUUGGUGUCACCUUGAAUCUAAGACUUCUUCCACUUCAAACUCUUCAUUAUUGUCUACUUCUAUAUGAAGAGGUGGAACUUGUCUUCUUCUUGAUAUGUCUACUAUCUUGUAUGGUUCAAGAAGAGAUACAUGGAAUACUAGAUGGAUUUUCAUUGACUCCGAUAGAUGUAAACGAUAUGCAACUGGAUUGAUUUGUGCUGAAAUAGAAAAUGGUCUGAGCCUUCGAUAGUCCAACUUAUCACAAAGACGAGUGGUCUUGAUAUUGCGAUAAAGUAACCAUACGUUACCAUCCAUGUGGAAUGGUGGUAAUUUCUUUCGAUAGACAUCCGCAUUGACCUUUUGUUGUUCUUGAGCUUCUUUUAACUAAGCCUUCAUCGUUGUAUGUAGCUUUGAUAAAUGAAUUGCCAAAUCUUUUGCAAUAGGAUUAUUAACUUUUGGAAAGUCAAAAGUAUCAAAUCAUGGAUGAUAACCAUAAUUAAUAAAGAAAGGUAUUUAUUUUGUAGAAGAAUGUACCGUGUUAUUGUAAGCAAACUCUAACAAUGGCAAAAGAGUUGUCCAAUCAUCUUGUUGGUAGUUAAUGGUACAUCUUAAAUACUGCUCCAAAACUUGAUUAACACGCUCUAUUUGUCCAUCAGUUUGAGGAUGGAAUGCCAAGGAUAGUUUUAUAUCCACUUUUAGAAUCUUGAAAAGAAUCUACCAAAAUCUUGAUACAAAUUGAAAUCCCCUAUCUAAUAUAAUAUCCUUGGAUAAUCCAUGAUAGUAAUAGAUAUUUUUAAGAAAGAGCUUAGUUGUGUCUUCACUUGUGAUAGAUUUUGAAUAUGGUACAAAAUGUGCCAUCUUGGUAAAACGAUCUAUUAUCACGAAUAUAGAGUCAUAAGAACCUGAGAUUAGAAAAUCCAUGAUGAAAUCCAUAGAAAUAAAAGACCAUGGUUGUUUUGGAAUGGGUAAUGGCUGAAGAAGUCCAUAAAGUAGAUGACGAGGAGUUUUUGAUUUCGAGCAAACAUCAAAAGUUUGUACAAAAUCUUUGACUGUUUUCCACAUUUGUGGCCACCAAAAGUCCUUGGAUAUUAGUUCCUAAGUUUUAUUGUAUCCAAAAUAUCCUGCUAUUGGAAAAUCAUGAUGAGCUUGAAGAACAUGUAAUCAAGCUUCACCUUCUGGAACAUAUAGGCGUCCUUCAAAAUAUAGUAGAUUCUUCUUGAAUUCAAACUUGGAAGUAUCAUGAGACUUUGAAGGAUUUCUCUUCAUAUUACAAAUAAGACAAUCAGAAGACAUACUUAACUAAACUUGCUUAAUGAAAGUUGAAUGAACAGUUAGUAUUGAUUUCAUUGUUCAAAGAUGAAGAUGCUCUGGCUUCAAGAGAAUUGUUCGUUGUUGAUCAAAAGUAGCAUCUCCUUCUUUUGGUAUAAGAUAAGAUCGUCUAAAAAGUGCAUCUGACAAACCUUAUUAUUUUCCUGGUCGAUAAGUGAUCUUGAAUUCAAAAUUUGACAAAGAUAUACUCCAACGGGCUUGGCAACAAUUCAAAAUAAGUGCUGACAUAAAAUAUUUAAGGUUCUUGUGAUCUUUAUACACUGUGACUGGACUAGAAGCACCUUCUAGAUAAUGGCGUCAUUCUUGAAACGUAUCCAUGAUUGCAAGGAAUUUUUUGUUAUGGAUCUCGUAGUUGAUCUCGGUUGCUAAAACUUUUUUGGAAUGAAAAGCUAUUGGAUGAAGUUUAUCAUCUAUUUUUAUUUGUGAUAAUACAGCACCCAAAGCAAAGUCUCAUGCGUCUGUUUCCAUAAAAAAUUGCUUAGAAAAAUCCAUGCGAUACAAGAUUGGUGUAGAAACAAAGGUUGUCUUCAAAGUUUCAAAUGCUACUUAUGCUUCUUGAUUCUAUUGAAGUUUGUCUUUACAAGUUAAACGUGUAAAUAAAGCUGCAACUUAAGAGAAGUCUUUGAUGAAGAUUCGAUAGUAGUUGACAAACCCCAAAAAACAUUGGACAUCUCUUACCAUUUUUGAGAUCUUCUAAUCUAUAAUAGUUUGAACUUUCUUAGGAUCCAUCAUAAGUCCAUCAUUUGAAAUGAUGUAUCCUUAGAGGUCGACUUGAGUAGUGUGAAAUACACACUUUUCUAUCUUGGCAUAGAGUCCUGCAUCACUUAGUUUUUGUAAUACUUGACGAAUAUGAAGUUCAUAUUCUUCUGAAUUCUUAGAAUAGGUUCAAAUGUCGUUUAGGUAACAGACAACAAAAUCAUCUAAAAACUCCGGAAGGACAUCAUUCAUUAGAUGUUGGAAUGUUGCUGGUGCAUUUGUAAGUCCAAAAGGCAUGAUGUUGUAUUCAAAAUGUCUAUACCUUGUUCGAAACACAAUCUUCUAUUCAUCUCCUUCUUUGAUGCAUACCAAAUUGUAUGCUCUUCGUAGAUCUAUUUUUGUAUAUCUUAGCUUCAUUCAACUGAUCAAGAAGCCCAGAUAUCAAAGGUAGUGGUGUCGUGAUACGUGAAGUCUUGCUUGACAAUGCAUCGAGCACCUCGCUCUAGAAGGUAAAAGAAAAUUGCAACAAAAGGUCCUAACAAUCUAAUAGGAUUAUAGAGAAUUUACAAUUAAACGUUAACAAUCAUAAUCAAACAUUAAGCAAGUUGAAUUAAAUUUUAUUGAAGUUAUAAAAGAAAUACAAGGAAAUCUUAAAAAAAUAUAAAAGAAUAGUAAAGAAAACUUAGUCAAACCGUAACAAAAAUCUAAUAGAACCUUAAAUUCUAACCAAAUCUUAAUCUUAAUCCAACCUUAAUCAAAU